GUGAAUCAUCAAAUUUUUGAACGCAAAUUGCACUUUCUGGUAUUCCGGAAAGUAUGCCUGUUUGAGGGUCAGUUAAAUAAAAAUCGAUGCAGUUGCUGCUUUUCGUGGUUACGCGUCGGACGUGAGUUUACUUACCUUCGGUUAUAUGUCGUAAAAUUUUGCAUGAGUUUCGAACGGUUUUAAAUUUCUUUCGUACGUUUGAGAUAUUGUAUAUAUUAUUAGGUUCGGUCAUCAU
rnacentral:misc_RNA from 1 species